UUCCAGGUUGAUCCUGCCGGAGGCGACACGUAUUGGAGUUCGAUUAAGCCAUGCGAGUCGAGAGCUUACGGAGCUCGGCAUACUGCUCAGUAACACGUGGAUAACCUGCCCUGUGCUCCGGGAUAACCUCGGGAAACUGAGAAUAAUACCGGAUAGUCCACCACGCCUGGAACGGUGGGUGGAUCAAAGGUCACGGCACAGGAUGGGUCUGCGGCGUAUCAUGUUGUAAGGGGUGUAAAGGACCCCCAUAACCAUUGACGCAUACGGGUAGUGGGAGCAAACGCCCGGAGAUGGAUUCUGAGACACGAAUCCAGACCCUACGGGGUGCAGCAGGACGCGAAAACUACACACUGCAGGAAACUGUGAUGAGGGAACUCCCAAGUGCAUGCACAAUGUGUAUGCUUUCCCUAACUUAAAAUCGGUUAGGGCAUAAGGGCUGGGAAAAGACGGUGACAACCGACGCGGUAAUACCGGCAGUCAAGUGGUCGUCGAUGAAAUCGAGCCUAAAACGUCCGAAGCCUGUUAGGAAAAUCUGUGGGUAAAUCAACCAGAUUAAAAGGUCGAAUACUGCAAGACCUGCCGAAUACGACCAGGAGAGGUGUGG
rnacentral:rRNA from 1 species